rnacentral:tRNA from 1 species
CCUUAGCUCAGUUGGUUAGAGCAUCCGGCUCAUAACCGGACGGUCGCUGGUUCGAAUCCAUCAGGGUC